rnacentral:rRNA from 1 species
CCAAUAGCGUAUAUUAAAGUUGUUGCAGUUAAAAAGCUCGUAGUUGAAUUUCGGGGUCAGCAAGUUGGUCGUGCCACCGGUAUGCACUGGUUUCGCUGAUUCCUCCUUCUUGUAGAACCUUAACGCCAUUAACUUGGUGUUGCGGGGAAACAGGACUGUUACUUUGAAAAAAUUAGAGUGUUUAAAGCAGGCUAACGCUUGAAUACAUUAGCAUGGAAUAAUGAAAUAGGACGAUCGAUCCUAUUUUGUUGGUUUCUAGGAUUGACGUAAUGAUUAAUAGGGAUAGUUGGGGGCAUUAGUAUUCAAUUGUCAGAGGUGAAAUCCUUGGAUUUAUUGAAGACUAACUACUGCGAAAGCAUUUGCCAAGGAUGUUUUCAUUAAUCAAGAACGAAAGUUAGGGGAUCGAAGACGAUCAGAUACCGUCGUAGUCUUAACCAUAAACUAUGCCGACUAGGGAUCGGAUGAUGUUAAUUUUAUAAUGACUCAUUCGGCGCCUUACG